AAAGUGGGAGAAAAUGAGCGGUCCGAAAGCUUUAUCCUUUCAACUCUCAUGCUCCGCACUCCGCAGUUUUCCUGCUUGCUCGAGCUGCUGCCCUGCUGCUCCAGUGCUCCACAACCAGCCGGAGUGAGAGAAGCCGUCAAACACCUCGCUCUGUCGCCGCUCACCGUCAAAUACGUCGCUGCAACGCCAUCUGCGACCUCCGUCCUUCGCGCCUCUGGAGCCGUGGAGUCUGGCGUGGGUAAAUCUGGAUUUUGAAGGUUAUCUUCAAAAGUUGAUACGCCCUGCCAGCUAUGUGACCCGCCAUCAGGAGCAAUGAAACUUACAGGAUCAAUCACGUCUCCACUCGUCAUAGCAGUAUUGAAUAUGGGAUCUAAAUAGAAAAUUAUUUUAUUGUUGUUGUAUCAUGUGCGCCUGCCGCCGCUAGUGAAUAAAAAUUUAUUGUUGUGAUUGGAGAAAUUGUGGCGGGAAUGACAUCUUGACAUGUUGUUUGGUGCUAACUUGCCGCCAGAUUUGUUUUUGGAAAAAAAAGUGUCGUGGCCAGAAUGGCUGGUGAACGUGUGUGGAGAGAGAAAGGAGGGAUGAUCCAGUAUCUAGCACCACGGGUGGAGAAGUGGGCAUGGUAUGUAUAGAGAGUUAAGUGGGUCGUGCUAAAUAGGCCGGCGCAGUCACAAUUCAUAUAUUGUCAGUGCUGAUAUAAUAUGGAUCUAGUAUCGUACUUGGUCCUCCAUUCAAUACGAUGAGCUGGCACGAUUAAGUGGUCGGCAUAAUUAGGCAUGGCUUAAACCACUG